rnacentral:rRNA from 1 species
UGAAGGUGCGAGCGUUAAUCGGAAUUACUGGGCGUAAAGCGCACGUAGGCGGUUGAGUCAGUCGGAUGUGAAAGCCCUGGGCUUAACCUGGGAAUUGCAUUCGAUACUGCUCGACUAGAGUAUGGUAGAGGGUAGCGGAAUUCCGGGUGUAGCGGUGAAAUGCGUAGAUAUCCGGAGGAACAUCAGUGGCGAAGGCGGCUUCCUGGACCAAUACUGACGCUGAGGUGCGAAAGCGUGGGGGAGCAAACAGGAUUAGAUACCCUGGUAGUCCACGCCGUAAACGAUGUCAACUAGCCCGUUGGGUCCAUUUAGGGAUUUAGUGGCGCAGCUAACGCGAUAAGUUGACCGCCUGGGAGUACGCCGGCAACGGUA